GCCUUCGUGGUGUAAUUGGAAGCAUACUCGACCCGUAUUCGAGAGGCCCAAGGUUCGAGUCCUGGCGAGGGCA